rnacentral:rRNA from 1 species
GUCUAAGGCUAUGCUACCAUGAACAAGCCCGAUCCCGUCUGAUCUCGGAAGCUAAGCAGGGUCAGACCUGGUUAGUACUAAAAUGGAAGACCACCUAGGAUGACCAGGAGAUGUAGGCA